rnacentral:sRNA from 1 species
GUGGAGGAGGGAAGGAACUAAGACCCUAUUACUUCUGCACUUCGCAGCCAGUCUACCCCGCUUUCACAGCCCAGCUAUGGGUGGUAUCACCCCCUACUUGUCGGAGAGCAAAUAGGUUGGGGGAGGGGUGUCAGGUUACAUGGUUUAGUGAUGGCGCAAACUCAGGUCCAAAGCCCGGGCUCUCUUCAAACAGCCAGGGGUGGGGGCCGGAAGGAGAGGUUGGGUGUUGUGAAGAACUGAAAGAAGGAAAGGUGGGCUGGGCCAGGUGAGAAGAGGGAAAGCCGGCGCCUAGGAGACCAGCGGAGGCAGCGCCGCGGCGGGAGGGGCGGGCGGCGGGCGCAGUUUUUUCCGCCCCUCGGUCUCCGGGUAACAGCUGCGGCUCCGCCAGACCCACCUCCGAGGGGAGGGAAGGCCGCCGCGCGCAGAUCUGAGCUAGCCCGGAGCUGCGGGCGGACGCCUCGCCGCGCGCAUCCCGCAAGAGGGUCGGGCGGUGACUCCUGCUCAGGUCAUGCCCUUAUCUGCUGAUCCAGCCGGCCCUGCCAGGUGACCAUGUCUGUCCUCGGCCCAGUUCUUCUCCAGGUGUUCUGGGCUGGCUGUGUCCUCACCCUGCAGUUCCCUGUACCAGCUGCUUUCACUGCCAAUGGCACACAUCUACAACACUUGGCGAGAGACCCCACCACAGGUACCCUCUAUGUAGGGGCCACCAACUUCCUGUUCCAGUUGAGCCCUGGGUUGCAGCUAGAAGCUGUGGUGUCCACGGGCCCUGUGAAUGACAGCCGGGAUUGCCUGCCACCUGUGAUACCUGAUGAAUGUCCCCAAGCCCAGCCUACUAACAACCCUAACCAGCUGCUCCUGGUGAGCCCAGAGGCUCUGGUGGUGUGUGGGAGCGUACACCAGGGCAUCUGUGAGCUACGGAGCCUGGGACAGAUCAUGCAAUUGCUGCUACGG